UUGCUGGGGGGAUUAGUGGCGAACGGGUGAGUAACACGUGAGUAACCUGCCCUUGACUCUGGGAUAAGCCUGGGAAACUGGGUCUAAUACUGGAUACGACCUUCUGGCGCAUGCCAUGUGGGUGGAAAGCUUUUGUGGUUUUGGAUGGACUCGCGGCCUAUCAGCUUGUUGGUGGGGUAAUGGCCUACCAAGGCGACGACGGGUAGCCGGCCUGAGAGGGUGGACGGCCACACUGGGACUGAGACACGGCCCAGACUCCUACGGGAGGCAGCAGUGGGGAAUAUUGCACAAUGGGCGCAAGCCUGAUGCAGCGACGCCGCGUGAGGGAUGAAGGCCUUCGGGUUGUAAACCUCUUUCAGUAGGGAAGAAGCGAAAGUGACGGUACCUGCAGAAGAAGCGCCGGCUAACUACGUGCCAGCAGCCGCGGUAAUACGUAGGGCGCAAGCGUUAUCCGGAAUUAUUGGGCGUAAAGAGCUCGUAGGCGGUUUGUCGCGUCUGCCGUGAAAGUCCGGGGCUUAACUCCGGAUCUGCGGUGGGUACGGGCAGACUUGAGUGAUGUAGGGGAGACUGGAAUUCCUGGUGUAGCGGUGAAAUGCGCAGAUAUCAGGAGGAACACCGAUGGCGAAGGCAGGUCUCUGGGCAUUAACUGACGCUGAGGAGCGAAAGCAUGGGGAGCGAACAGGAUUAGAUACCCUGGUAGUCCAUGCCGUAAACGUUGGGCACUAGGUGU
rnacentral:rRNA from 1 species